UGGGGGAGUGAAAUACCUAAUAGAGGAACAGAGACACAGCUACAAAGUCGGGCCAGUCCAAACUACACAAGGUGAGGUUGGCUCAAGGCUGACUCAGAAGAGCAACAGAAGAGACCUCUUGCAAAGCAAAUACUUUCUGGGGACUAAAGGUUCCAGCAGAAGGAGGGCAAGAGGCUUAAGAUUGGAAAGUGACCUCUCACCGGGAAUCUCAGGAUGGGAGUGUAGAAGAGAAGUUGGGAAGUGAUGCCCUACUGGCUUGGGGCCCAGCGGAAUCUUAGAGGAAGAGCUUCCUAAUGGUGGUUACUCUCUGGGCACCUCGUCAUUCCAGCUAUAUCACAAACAUCUUGGCCUCCCACCCCUCAAGGUGUUCAGUUGGUGGGUGGAGCCACUCAAGGAGUAGCUGGUGUUGGGAGGAAACUGCCUUGUGCUGGAGCUGCUGGAAUUUGCGUGGGCCCCACCAUCCAGGUGUUCUGGCAGCCCUUCCAUGGGUGGGAGAAGCUGGCUGAGGUCGCUUUGGAGCAACACACUCCUGAGAGUAAAC